AAUAGCCUAACAGGCUGAACCAGCAACUUGGAGGAAUGUAUGGGAAAAACUGGUAAAAUGUGAUGUACCUGGUAGUAUUAGAGGUUGAUACGAUAUUAACAAAGUUAAUUAAAAUUCUAUGUAGAUAUUGAUUAUGACAAUAUUUGCUUAUUUCUUGACCAAGUCACGUGCCAGCAGUCGCGGCAAUACGUGGUAGAUUAGUGUUAUUCAUCUUUAAUAGGUUUAAAGGGUACCUAGACGGUUAAUUAGACAUAAAAGUGUACUAUUAUUAACUAGAGUUUAAUGUAAGAAGGAUUGAGUACGGUGAGUGUAGAGAUAAAAUUCUGUCAUACCACUUAAGGAACUGGUAAAGGCGAAGGCAACCUUUUAUGUAAAAACUGACGUUAAGGGACGAAGGCUCGAAAUAAGUAACAGGAUUAGAUACCCUAGUAUUGUGGGCAGACAAUGAUGAGUGUCAUAUGCAAGAAAUUAUGGAUUCGCAUUUGUAUUUGUUUGAUUAUAUGGAAAUAAUUGAAAUAAAUACCAGUUUUGUGUACAUAAGAAAGCGUACAUGGAAUGGAAAAAAUAGAAUCCCGUUUUGUGUAUAAAUGAAAGUGUAAGCACUCCACCUCAAGAGUAACGUGGCAACAUAGGAACUGAAACCAUUAGACCGUUUCUGAAACUCGUAGUGAAGUAUGUUGUUUAAUUUGAUAGUCCUCAAAGAACCUUACCACAAUUUGUAUAACUUGAACAUAAGAUAUAAUUACCUAUAUAUUAUAUCUGAUACAAGUAACAAGCGUUGCACGGCUGUCUUCAGUUAAUGUUGUGAAACUUUGGUUAGAUCCAUUUAAUUGACGUAAACCCUUACUUUAUUUAUUAUAAAGUAGUUCGCCGCUAUAUUGGUAGUGAUAUA
rnacentral:rRNA from 1 species